GUGCCUACCUAUCAGAGGAGAUACCACGGUCAAGAAGGUGUUCACUUCCAGGGUGAGGCUCAUCUGUUACACUCGGGAGGUGCUGACCUGUGAUUUCUCCGAAUGCGGGAAAUUCGUCUGCAUAAUUUGUGGUAGUGGGAGGACUAUAUUUAUGCUCUUCCC